AUCACCUGGGGAGCAUGUUAAAAUGUGAAGUUUGAUUUAGUAUGCUGAGGUGGGGCCUGAGAUUCUGCAUUUCUAUCAAGUUCCCAGGUGAUGGCCA
rnacentral:miRNA from 1 species